AUGACACAACAACACACAACCGGUCCCUGCCGGCCCACCGCGGGGCGGGCUGCGACUCACGCCUGGAUGGACUCGGUGACGGAGCCGAUCUGGUUGACUUUGAGCAGCAGGCAGUUGCAGGCUUUCUGCUCGGCCGCGUGGGCGAUGCGCUUCGGGUUGGUGACCGUCAGGUCGUCGCCCACCACCUGGAUGUCCACGUGGGACAGGAAGUGCUUCCACGCCUCCCAGUCGUCCUGGUCAAAGGGGUCCUCGAUGGACACCACUGCGAUGGGGGGGCACGACCAUCAGCCUUCCCAGUAUGGACCAGUAUGGACCAGUAUGGCUCCAUGUAGCCCCAGUGCCUCCCAGUGCCUCCCAGUGCCUUCCCAGUCAUCCUGGUCAAAGGGGUCCUCGAUGGACACCACUGUGAUGGGGGGCCACGACCAUCAGCAUUCCCAGUAUGGACCAGUAUGGCCCUAUGUGGUCCCAGUGCCUCCCAGUGCCUCCAGUCCCCUCCCAGUCUGUCCCAGUGCCCCCAAUCCCCUCCCAGUUCCUCCCAGUCGUCCUGGCCAAAGGGGUUCUCGAUGGACACCACUGCGAUGGGGGGCACGACCAUCAGCCUUCCCAGUAUGGACCAGUAUGGCCCAGUAUGGCUCCACGUGGCCCCAGUGCCUCCCAGUGUCCCCAGUCCCCUCCCAGUCGUCCUGGUAAAAGGGGUCCUUGAUGGACACCACUGUGAUGGGGGGCCACAACCAUCAGCAUUCCCAGUAUGGACCAGUAUGGACCAGUAUGGCCCCAGUGCCCCCAGUCCCCUCCCAGUUCCUCCCAGUCAUCCUGGUCAAAGGAAUCCUCGAUGGACACCACUGUGAUGGGGGGCCACAACCAUCAGCAUUCCCAGUAUGGACCAGUAUGGCCCUAUGUGGUCCCAGGGCCUCCCAGUGCCCCCAGUCCCCUCCCAGUGCCCCCAAUCGCUCUCCCAGUUCCUCCCAGUCGUCCUGGUCAAAGGGGUCCUCGAUGGACACCACUGCGAUGGGGGGCCACGACCAUCAGCAUUCCCAGUAUGGACCAGUAUGGCCCAGUAUGGCCCCAUGUGGCCUCAGAGCUUCCCAGUGCCCCCAGUUCCCCUCCCAGUGCUCCUGGCUCCCCUCCCAUCACUUCCCAGUCCUCCCACUGUCCCCAGUACCCCCCUCCCAGUCCCUCCCAGUCC
rnacentral:lncRNA from 1 species